rnacentral:rRNA from 1 species
GACGAACGCUGGCGGCGUGCCUAACACAUGCAAGUCAACUUGACUGAAGGAGCAAUCUGACAGUAGAGUGGCGCAAAGGUGCGUAACGCGUAAGUAACUUGCCCCAAGGUAAGGAAUAACGUCGAGAAAUCGGCGCUAAUACCUCAUAAUGCAGCGGAUCCGCAUGGAUAUGUUGUUAAAGGUUUACCGCCUUGGGAUAGGCUUGCGUCUGAUUAGCUAGUUGGUGUGGUAACGGCACACCAAGGCUACGAUCAGUAACUGGUCUGAGAGGAUGAUCAGUCACACUGGAACUGAGACACGGUCCAGACUCCUACGGGAGGCAGCAGUGAGGAAUAUUGGGCAAUGCUCGAAAGAGUGACCCAGCAACGCCGCGUGGAGGAUGAAGGUAUUCUAUAUCGUAAACUCCUGUGAGAGCAGACGAAAGACAGAUUAUUAAUCUGGAUGACUGUAUGCUCAGAGGAAGCCCCGGCUAACU